rnacentral:rRNA from 1 species
GACGAACGCUGGCGGCGUGCUUAACACAUGCAAGUCGAACGGAAAGGCCUCUUUCGGGGGGUACUCGAGUGGCCAACGGGUGAGUAACACGUGAGUAACCUGCCCUUGACUUUGGGAUAACUUCAGGAAACUGGGGCUAAUACCGGAUAGGAGCUCCUGCUGCAUGGUGGGGGUUGGAAAGUUUCGGCGGUUGGGGAUGGACUCGCGGCUUAUCAGCUUGUUGGUGGGGUAGUGGCUUACCAAGGCUUUGACGGGUAGCCGGCCUGAGAGGGUGACCGGCCACAUUGGGACUGAGAUACGGCCCAGACUCCUACGGGAGGCAGCAGUGGGGAAUAUUGCACAAUGGGUGGAAGCCUGAUGCAGCAACGCCGUGUGCGGGAUGACGGCCUUCGGGUUGUAAACCGCUUUCGCUCAUGACGAAGCUUUGUGUGACGGUAGUGGGUAAAGAAGCACCGGCUAACUACGUG